rnacentral:rRNA from 1 species
GACGAACGCUGGCGGCGUGCUUAACACAUGCAAGUCGAACGAAAAGGCCCUGCUUUUGUGGGGUGCUCGAGUGGCGAACGGGUGAGUAACACGUGAGUAACCUGCCCUUGACUUUGGGAUAACUUCAGGAAACUGGGGCUAAUAUCGGAUAGGAGCUCCUGCUGCAUGGUGGGGGUUGGAAAGUUUCGGCGGUUGGGGAUGGACUCGCGGCUUAUCAGCUUGUUGGUGGGGUAGUGGCUUACCAAGGCUUUGACGGGUAGCCGGCCUGAGAGGGUGACCGGCCACAUUGGGACUGAGAUACGGCCCAGACUCCUACGGGAGGCAGCAGUGGGGAAUAUUGCACAAUGGGCGGAAGCCUGAUGCAGCAACGCCGCGUGCGGGAUGACGGCCUUCGGGUUGUAAACCGCUUUCGCCUGUGACGAAGCGUGAGUGACGGUAAUGGGUAAAGAAGCACCGGCUAACUACGUG